GACGGACGCUGGCGGCGUGCUUAACACAUGCAAGUCGAACGGAAAGGCCCUGCUUGCAGGGUGCUCGAGUGGCGAACGGGUGAGUAACACGUGGGUGAUCUGCCCCUUACUUUGGGAUAAGCCUGGGAAACUGGGUCUAAUACUGGAUAGGACCAUGCUGUAGGUGGUGUGGUGGAAAGAUUAGUUUCGGUAAGGGAUGAGCUCGCGGCCUAUCAGCUUGUUGGUGGGGUAAUGGCCUACCAAGGCGUCGACGGGUAGCCGGCCUGAGAGGGUGGACGGCCACAUUGGGACUGAGAUACGGCCCAGACUCCUACGGGAGGCAGCAGUGGGGAAUAUUGCACAAUGGGCGCAAGCCUGAUGCAGCGACGCCGCGUGGGGGAUGACGGCCUUCGGGUUGUAAACUCCUUUCAGCCAUGACGAAGCCCUUGUGGUGACGGUAGUGGUAGAAGAAGCACCGGCUAACUACGUG
rnacentral:rRNA from 1 species